UUGCAGUGACCUUUCUACACCUGGUGACUACAACAGAAUCGUUCCGGUGAAAGCCCCUGGCCAGCCAGGGCAUACGAUUGUCUCCACAGCGAGAUAAGCAAAAAACAUAUCACACUUGGGCACUCACAGUUUUAAGAAGAAUGUUUGGUCAUUCUUCUCCGACACGUUGAGAGGAAACGUGUGCGUACACCUACAUUAUUUAUCAGAACAACCAUUCUU